rnacentral:rRNA from 1 species
GACGAACGCUGGCGGCGUGCUUAACACAUGCAAGUCGAACGGAAAGGCCUGCUUUCCCUUGUGGAUUGCGGGUACUCGAGUGGCGAACGGGUGAGUAACACGUGAGUGAUCUGCCCCCAACUUGGGUAUAAGCCUGGGAAACUGAGUCUAAUUCCCGAUAGGACUGCAGGGUGGUGCCUGUGGUGGAAAACGAUUUUCUAGUGGUUGGGGAUGAGCUCGCGGCCUAUCAGCUUGUUGGUGGGGUAAUGGCCUACCAAGGCGGCGACGGGUAGCCGGCCUGGGAGGGUGGACGGCCACAUUGGGACUGAGAUACGGCCCAGACUCCUACGGGAGGCAGCAGUGGGGAAUAUUGGACAAUGGGCGGAAGCCUGAUGCAGCGAGGCCGCGUGGGGGAUGACGGCCUUCGGGUUGUAAACUCCUUUCGACCGAGAGGAAGCCACCUGGUUGGAAGGGUGGUGACGGUAGUGGUAGAAGAAGCACCGGCUAACUACGUG